AAAAUAGUUUUGAAGCUCACUCUAAUGGCGACCACUGGGUUUGCUCUCCCGUUUGCUGGGAAACUCGGCUCACCAUUGUUGCGUUCGAAGCCCUCACCGCUCCUCUCCAUCCCUCAUAGCUUCAGGAAGCCUUUGUCCUUGCGCGUGAUGGGUUCUGCCUCCUCUUCUCAGAGACCAGAGAAAUUGCAAGAGGCAGGUAAAUCUAACUUUACUUCCCUGAGUGAGGACGAGUGGAAGUCACGUCUUACCGAGGAACAAUAUAAAGUAACUCGGCAAAAGGGCACUGAGAGAGCAUUUACUGGGCAAUAUUGGAACACAAAAACCACAGGAACUUACCAUUGCAUAUGCUGUGACACGCCAUUAUUUGAAUCUACGGCAAAGUUUGACAGUGGAACUGGGUGGCCAUCCUACUAUGAACCAAUCGGAAACAAUGUAAAAUCCAAGCUAGACAUGUCUAUCAUUAUCAUGCCCCGGAGUGAAGUCCUCUGUGCUGUUUGUGAUGCUCAUCUUGGUCACGUCUUUGAUGAUGGGCCACCACCAACUGGGAAGCGAUAUUGCAUCAAUAGUGCAUCUCUUAAGCUGAUACCAAAAGAAUAGACAUGCUCAAGCUUAUAAUAUCUUGGAACACACAUUACAUCGAAUUAUAGAUGAAUUCCUUGCUGAUAUUUACCUCAAUCAGGUAUGGUCUUGACUCUUGAGAGGGCAAAAAAAAAAGCAGAAAGAAAAUGGAAAAGAAAUAGUAUGUAUAUAUAUAAAGAGUUUUCUUCGGUUGUUUAACCUUUUUGUAUGUCACAUUUGAAUAUUCUCUAUGUCACAUUCAAUUAUUAUCUGACGUGUUAUGGAUAUAUGGUAGAUUGAACCGUAGAAUUCUUAAGUGAUCCUUUGACAUUUCUCCAAUACUUAUACUUAAGGUCUCUUGAAUGUUUAA